rnacentral:rRNA from 1 species
UAAAAACCCCGACUUCGGAAGGGGUGUAUUUAUUAGAUACAAAACCAAUGCCCUUCGGGGCUCUUUGGUGAUUCAUGAUAACUAUACGAAUCGCACGGCCUUGCGCCGGCGAUGGUUCACUCAAAUUUCUUCCCUAUCAACUUUCGAUGUUUGGGUAUUGGCCAAACAUGGUUGCAACGGGUAACGGAGGGUUAGGGCUCGACCCCGGAGGAGGAGCCUGAGAAACGGCUACUACAUCCAAGGAAGGCAGCAGGCGCGCAAAUUACCCAAUCCCGACUCGGGGAGGUAGUGACAAUAAAUACUGAUACAGGGCCCUUUCGGGCCUUGUAAUUGGAAUGAGUACAAUUUAAAUCCCUUAACGAGGAACAAUUGGAGGGCAAGUCUGGUGCCAGCAGCCGCGGUAAUUCCAGCUCCAAUAGCGUAUAUUAAAGUUGUUGUGGUUAAAAAGCUCGUAGUUGAACCUUGGGCCUGGCUGGCCGGUCCGCCUCACCGCGUGCACUGGUCCGGCCGGGCCUUUCCCUCUGUGGAACCCCAUACCCUUCACUGGGCGUGGCGGGGAAACAGGACAUUUACUUU